GCCAUUCUACUCCCUCCACUGCUGGACUGCCAAUCUGCCUCCCGGAUUACCUCCCACACCUCCCGCCGGUUCUAUGACCUGCAUCUGGUGUUUCAUGCAUUCAAAAUUUAUUAGAACUAUGAAAUAUACUGCAUUCCCAUUGAGAUACAAUACAAUGCCAGACAUCUAAGAAACAAAUUGGGAUAUAUAUGCUGAAUUUAAUAAAUAGCAAUACAGUCAAUUUAAAA